AUACAGAGGGUGCAAGCGUUAAUCGGAUUUACUGGGCGUAAAGCGCGCGUAGGCGGCUAAUUAAGUCAAAUGUGAAAUCCCCGAGCUUAACUUGGGAAUUGCAUUCGAUACUGGUUAGCUAGAGCGUGGGAGAGGAUGGUAGAAUUCCAGGUGUAGCGGUGAAAUGCGUAGAGAUCUGGAGGAAUACCGAUGGCGAAGGCAGCCAUCUGGCCUAACACUGACGCUGAGGUGCGAAAGCAUGGGGAGCAAACAGGAUUAGAUACCCCGGUAGUCC
rnacentral:rRNA from 1 species